rnacentral:rRNA from 1 species
AACGAACGCUGGCGGCAUGCCUAACACAUGCAAGUCGAACGAGACCUUCGGGUCUAGUGGCGCACGGGUGCGUAACGCGUGGGAACCUGCCCUUAGGUUCGGAAUAACUCCCCGAAAGGGGUGCUAAUACCGGAUAAUGUCUUCGGACCAAAGAUUUAUCGCCUUUGGAUGGGCCCGCGUUGGAUUAGCUAGUUGGUAGGGUAAAAGCCUACCAAGGCGACGAUCCAUAGCUGGUCUGAGAGGAUGAUCAGCCACACUGGGACUGAGACACGGCCCAGACUCCUACGGGAGGCAGCAGUGGGGAAUAUUGGACAAUGGGCGAAAGCCUGAUCCAGCAAGGCCGCGUGAGUGAUGAAGGCCUUAGGGUUGUAAAGCUCUUUUACCCGGGAUGAUAAUGACAGUACCGGGAGAAUAAGCUCCGGCAAACUCCGU